GCUAGCUACAGGCUUAACACAUGCAAGUCGAGGGGAAACGACAUCGAAAGCUUGCUUUUGAUGGGCGUCGACCGGCGCACGGGUGAGUAACGCGUAUCCAACCUGCCCACCACUUGGGGAUAACCUUGCGAAAGUAAGACUAAUACCCAAUGAUAUCUCUAGAAGACAUCUGAAAGAGAUUAAAGAUUUAUCGGUGAUGGAUGGGGAUGCGUCUGAUUAGCUUGUUGGCGGGGUAACGGCCCACCAAGGCGACGAUCAGUAGGGGUCCUGAGAGGAAGGUCCCCCACAUUGGAACUGAGACACGGUCCAAACUCCUACGGGAGGCAGCAGUGAGGAAUAUUGGUCAAUGGGCGAGAGCCUGAACCAGCCAAGUAGCGUGCAGGAUGACGGCCCUAUGGGUUGUAAACUGCUUUUAUAAGGGAAUAAAGUGAGUCUCGUGAGACUUUUUGCAUGUACCUUAUGAAUAAGGACCGGCUAAUUCCGUGCCAGCAGCCGCGGUAAUACGGAAGGUCCGGGCGUUAUCCGGAUUUAUUGGGUUUAAAGGGAGCGUAGGCCGGAGAUUAAGCGUGUUGUGAAAUGUAGAUGCUCAACAUCUGAACUGCAGCGCGAACUGGUUUCCUUGAGUACGCACAAAGUGGGCGGAAUUCGUGGUGUAGCGGUGAAAUGCUUAGAUAUCACGAAGAACUCCGAUUGCGAAGGCAGCUCACUGGAGCGCAACUGACGCUGAAGCUCGAAAGUGCGGGUAUCGAACAGGAUUAGAUACCCUGGUAGUCCGCACGGUAAACGAUGGAUGCCCGCUGUUGGUCUGAAUAGGUCAGCGGCCAAGCGAAAGCAUUAAGCAUCCCACCUGGGGAGUACGCCGGCAACGGUGAAACUCAA
rnacentral:rRNA from 1 species